rnacentral:rRNA from 1 species
UACGGAGGGAGCUAGCGUUGUUCGGAAUUACUGGGCGUAAAGCGCACGUAGGCGGCUUUGUAAGUUAGAGGUGAAAGCCCGGGGCUCAACCCCGGAAUUGCCUUUAAGACUGCAUCGCUUGAAUCCGGGAGAGGUGAGUGGAAUUCCGAGUGUAGAGGUGAAAUUCGUAGAUAUUCGGAAGAGCACCAGUGGCCGAAGGCGGCUCGACUGGAC